GACGAACGCUGGCGGCGUGCUUAACACAUGCAAGUCGAACGGAAAGGCCCUGCUUUUGUGGGGUGCUCGAGUGGCGAACGGGUGAGUAACACGUGAGUAACCUGCCCUUGACUUUGGGAUAACUUCAGGAAGCUGGGGCUAAUACCGGAUAGGAGCUCCUGCUGCAUGGUGGGGGUUGGAAAGUUUCGGCGGUUGGGGAUGGACUCGCGGCUUAUCAGCUUGUUGGCGGGGUAGUGGCUUACCAAGGCUUUGACGGGUAGCCGGCCUGAGAGGGUGACCGGCCACAUUGGGACUGAGAUACGGCCCAGACUCCUACGGGAGGCAGCAGUGGGGAAUAUUGCACAAUGGGCGGAAGCCUGAUGCAGCAACGCCGCGUGCGGGAUGACGGCCUUCGGGUUGUAAACCGCUUUCGCCUGUGACGAAGCGUGAGUGACGGUAAUGGGUAAAGAAGCACCGGCUAACUACGUG
rnacentral:rRNA from 1 species